ACGCACGCUGGCGGCGUGCUUCACCCCUGCCAGUCGCACGGAAAGGCCCUGCUUUUGUGGGGUGCUCGAGUGGCGAACGGGUGAGUAACACGUGAGUAACCUGCCCUUGACUUUGGGAUAACUUCAGGAAACUGGGGCUAAUACCGGAUAGGAGCUCCUGCUGCAUGGUGGGGGUUGGAAAGUUUCGGCGGUUGGGGAUGGACUCGCGGCUUAUCAGCCUGUUGGUGGGGUAGUGGCUUACCAAGGCUUUGACGGGUAGCCGGCCUGAGAGGGUGACCGGCCACAUUGGGACUGAGAUACGGCCCAGACUCCUACGGGAGGCAGCAGUGGGGAAUAUUGCACAAUGGGCGGAAGCCUGAUGCAGCAACGCCGCGUGCGGGAUGACGGCCUUCGGGUUGUAAACCGCUUUCGCCUGUGACGAAGCGUGAGUGACGGUAAUGGGUAAAGAAGCACCGGCUAACUACGUG
rnacentral:rRNA from 1 species